GUUGGACUUGCUGCCGCUAGUGGCGCACGGGUGAGUAAUGCAUGGAUAAUCUGCCUUGUAGUGGAGGACAACUACGCGAAAGUGUAGCUAAUACUGCAUACGCAGCCUGGGUGAGACUCCCAGGCUGGAAAGAUGGGGACCUUCGGGCCUAUCGCUAUAAGAUGAGUUCAUGUCCCAUUAGCUUGUUGGGGGGGUAAAGGCCUCCCAAGGCCGAGAUGGGUAGCUGGUCUGAGAGGAUGAUCAGCCACAUUGGAACUGAGACACGGUCCAGACUCCUACGGGAGGCAGCAGUGGGGAAUAUUGCGCAAUGGGCGCAAGCCUGACGCAGCAACGCCGCGUGGACGAUGAAGGCCUUCGGGUUGUAAAGUCCUUUCGACUGGGAAAAAGGUAUUUUUGGCGAAUAGCCAAAGGUAUUGAUGGUAUCAGGAGAAGAAGCACCGGCUAAAUUCGUGCCAGCAGCCGCGGUAAUACGAAUGGUGCAAGCGUUGCUCGGAAUCAUUGGGCGUAAAGAGUUCGUAGGCGGGACAAUGAGUCAAGUGUGAAAUCCCAAGGCUUAACCUUGGACGUGCAUUUGAAACUGUUGUUCUUGAGUUUCGGAGAGGGUAGUGGAAUUGCUGGUGUAGGGGUGACAUCCGUAGAUAUCAGCAGGA
rnacentral:rRNA from 1 species